UACGAAGGGGGCUAGCGUUGCUCGGAAUCACUGGGCGUAAAGGGUGCGUAGGCGGGGCUUUAAGUCAGGGGGGAAAUCCUGGAGCUCAACUCCAGAACUGCCUUUGAUACUGAGGAUCUUGAGUUCGGGAGAGGUGAGUGGAACUGCGAGUGUAGAGGUGAAAUUCGUAGAUAUUCGCAAGAACACCAGUGGCGAAGGCGGCUCACUGGCCCGAUACUGACGCUGAGGCACGAAAGCGUGGGGAGCAAACAGG
rnacentral:rRNA from 1 species